UUAUCAAAUUGCCAACCUCUAGACUAGUUAGGUACAUCAUGACUUUUGUGUUUCGUUGCAAUCAUUCCUUGUAAAAUUGGUAAUGAAUCAAGUUUUCAAAUCUUAGUUUUGUGGCCGACGUUCGAUAUCGUUUAACCGAGCUUUCACCAGGGCAAGCGAACGGUGAAAGAAAAGGUCAACCAGCCGUCGUCUCCGGUCAAUUUAUUGAAGUUUUCCAACUUGUCUGCAUCAACGUAUAUCUUUUGGUGUUUUGCUAAGCUAUAUCCAGGUCGUUAAGUAUUUUGGAACGGGGAAGCUUGCUAUCUGGGAGUGCUGGAGUGGUCAUGGAUCGAAGCUCUUAGAUUGAAUUACAUUGGUUUUAUGCGUUAUUAUGAAACAAUUGCUAAACAACUUAAUACAUGCUUCCGCUACACAAUUUUUGAGAACUAAUAUUAUGUUGACAACUUAUUUUGGUAAAAUAAUGUCAUGACUUAUUUGAAAAUUUA